rnacentral:lncRNA from 1 species
GGAAAGGUGAGAAGAGGGUGGGAAGGGCUGGGCAUUUACACCCAUCUCAUUGCGGCCCAGUGACAGAGAUGGGGCUCAUGCUGAGCACAACUUGUGCUAAUGAGCACUGCUGCCUUAUCUGCUCCCAACCCCUUCUGGGAACUCCUUGAAAUUGCUACUCAAUAGCACUUAGGAAACACUUGCUAUAAAUCAUAUAGAACCAAGAAUCCAGCCCCAUGACAGGAUGCAUACAGCUAGGCACAAUUAGAGACAAGGUUUUCCCCAAACAGUUCUAAUCUAAAAUAUUCUGUCCUGGUCACCCUAGAAGCACGUGUAAACUUGUCAAUCCAUGUGCUUUGAUUUUUUAAUGACAUGAAUACUCUGAGAUAGGACUGGCUGCAAAACAUGUAUGGCGUUCACUAGUCCUUUGCUCCGGAUAAUGUCAAUACUCUGCCAAGACUCUCCAGUGACUUUUACUAGCUCCAGAAGAAAAUCUAAAAUCCUUGCCUCAUCCUCAAGGCUCUAUUGGAUCUGAUCCCUCCUCCUCUACCCUUUAAUCACUGCCUCCCAGUGACACUGGCCUGCUUUCUGUCCUGUGAACAUGCCAAACCUGCACCUGCCUCAGGGGUUUUGGCCUUGCUCUUCCACCCUCCUAGAAUGUUCUUCCACUUGAAGCCAUUUACAGUGGGCUCCUUCUUAUGGUUCAGACUUGGAUUCAGAUGUUAGCUCCACAGGACACCUUUUCUUACAGCCAAACCUCAGCUAGCACUAUCCCCUCCCCAGAUACUUUCUUGGGCAUGGCCCUCUAAUAUCACCUUCAUGGCAUUUAUCAUGAUCUAUAAUCACCUUAUUUACAGGUUUAGUUGUUUAUUUUCUGUUUUCCUCACUGGAAUAUAAGUUACAGUGGGGCAGGGCCCAUGUCUCUCCAGCUGCUAGGAUAGUGUCUAGCACAUAGCAGGUACUUAAUAAAUGAAUAGUAGGUAUCCGUCUUGAUCAUUUUGGACUGAUAUAACAAACUGCUCUAGACUGAGUGGCUUAAAAAUAACAGAAAUUUAUUUCUCAGAGUUCUGGAAGCUGGAAGAUCUAGAUCAAAGUGCUGGUAGAGUCAGUGUUUGGUAAAGGCCCAGUUCCUCGUUCAUAGACAGUUGUCUUCUUGCUGGGUCCUCACACAGUGGAGGGGGUAAGGGAGCUCUCCAGAAUAUCUUUUCUUUUUUCUUUCUUUCUUUCUUUCUUUUUUUUUUUCUUUUUGACAGAGUCUCACUAUGUUACCCAGGCUGGAGGGCAGUGGCAUGAUCUCGGCUCACUGCAACCUUUUUCUUCCAGGUUCAAGCAAUUCUCCUGGCUCAGCCUCCUGAGUAGAUGGGAUUAUAGGUGCCUGCCACCACACCUGGCUUUUUUUUUUUUUUUUUUUUUUUUUUGAGAUGGAGUCUUGCUCUGUUGUCCAGGCUGGAGUGCAGUGGCACAGUCUCGGCUCACUGCAACCUCCACCUCCUCCUGGGUUCAAGCAAUUCUCCUGUCUCAGCCUCCCGAGUAGCUGGGACUACAGGCGCCCACCACUACACCCAGCUAAUUUUUUGUGUUUUUAGUAGAGACGGGUUUCACCAUGUUGGCCAGUCUCACUUGAACUCCUGACUUCAAGUGAUCUGUCUGCCUCAACCUCCCAAAGUGUUGGGAUUACAGGCGUGAGCCACCAUGCCUGGCCCAGAAUUUCUUUCAUAAGGGCGCUAAUCCCGGUCAUGAAGGUUCUGCUCUCAUGACUUGAUCACCUACCAAAGUCCCUACAUUGGGGAUUAGGUUUCAACAUAUGACAUUCUGAGGGACAUACAUAUUCAGUCUGUAACAGUAUCUAAUAAAUAGAUUUGAUAAAUAAAACUGUCUUGUCCCCUUUAGUAGUUAAACACAGUGUUAAGGACAUAAUAAGCCUCAGAAAUUUGUCUCCACAUUCCUUUUCUUGCCCUUUGAUCUGCUCCUUUGUCCUUUGGGAACUUCUCACUUGUCGUUUUGGUUCUUCAGCCCCUGAACUAAUAUUGUCUUACAGAAAAAACACAUUCUUCAGUCCACAUAUAGUUAUACUAACUCCUGCAAUAUUCAAAGAUUACAUCUAAGUAGCCCUCUCUUGGGAAUGGGGUAAGUGGGAGAAGAAAAUAUCUUUAAAUGGAAAGAGAAUUAGAUGCAUUUUGGCUUCAUUUUUCUCUUUGCACAUUUCCACAAGACUCAUAAACCACAGGCUGUAGGAAGGCAGAGAGGUUACUCAGCUGGCCAUAGUCAUUCCCAGGCUUACCCUUGGCCAUGUUAUUAUUUCUCAGUAUGUAGUACUUUCUUAUGCAUAUUAUAUGCAGUGAUUCAUAUCGAUUCUUAUUAGCUAGAAGAAUGUGGUUAGCUUUCUGAAUGUAUUCGAACUCUGAUUCCUCUAUGUCUGCCAACAAAUGCAAAGCAGCACCUAAAACAACUUGUCUUGUUAUAAAUUUCUCAGAAUAAACCACUUAAUGUUGAUAGUGUCGUGUGACUAAAUCCUUUAUUUCUCACAUUUGUGGGGCGGGGGACUCAACAUGAAAGCCAGGUCUUCUAAUUCAUGAUAUUUACUCAUUUGAAAU